rnacentral:rRNA from 1 species
CGGAUGGGCAUGCGCCGCAUUAGUUAGUUGGCGGUGUAACGGACCACCAAGACGACGAUGCGUAGGGGUUCUGAGAGGAAGGUCCCCCACACUGGUACUGAGACACGGACCAGACUCCUACGGGAGGCAGCAGUGAGGAAUAUUGGUCAAUGGGCGAGAGCCUGAACCAGCCAAGUCGCGUGAGGGAAGACGGUCCUAUGGAUUGUAAACCUCUUUUGCCGGGGAGCAAAAAGCGGUACGUGUACCGCAUCGAGAGUACCCGGAGAAAAAGCAUCGGCUAACUCCGUGCCAGCAGCCGCGGUAAUACGGAGGAUGCGAGCGUUAUCCGGAUUUAUUGGGUUUAAAGGGUGCGCAGGCGGCGAGUUAAGUCAGCGGUAAAGUUUCGGGGCUCAACCCCGACAAGCCGUUGAAACUGGCUUGCUAGAGUGGGCGAGAAGUAUGCGGAAUGCGUGGUGUAGCGGUGAAAUGCAUAGAUAUCACGCAGAACUCCGAUUGCGAAGGCAGCAUACCGGCGCCCAACUGACGCUCAGGCACGAAAGCGUGGGUAUCGAACAGGAUUAGAUACCCUGGUAGUCCACGCAGUAAACGAUGAGCACUAAUUGUCCGGUCCGAGUGAGGGCUGG